rnacentral:rRNA from 1 species
AACGAACGCUGGCGGCGUGCUUAACACAUGCAAGUCGAACGCGAAAGGGGCUUCGGUCCUGAGUAGAGUGGCGCACGGGUGAGUAACGCGUAGAUAACCUGUCCUGGUGUCUGGACUAAUAUCUCGAAAGGGGUGCUAAUACCGGAUAUUCUUGCUUUCUAUAAGGUAUGCAAGGAAAGGUGGCCUCUGGAACAAGCUACUGCACGAGGAGGGGUCUGCGUACCAUUAGCUAGUAGGUGGGGUAAUGGCCUACCUAGGCGACGAUGGUUAGCGGGUCUGAGAGGAUGAUCCGCCACACUGGUACUGAAACACGGACCAGACUCCUACGGGAGGCAGCAGUGAGGAAUAUUGCGCAAUGGGGGCAACCCUGACGCAGCGACGCCGCGUGAGUGAGGAAGGCCUUCGGGUCGUAAAGCUCUGUCAAAGGGGAAGAAGUGCAUGGUGGUUAAUAUCUGUCAUGUUUGACGGUACCCUUAAAGGAAGCACCGGCUAACUCCGUGCCAGCAGCCGCCGUAA